AGCUCCAAUAGCGUAUAUUAAAGUUGUUGCAGUUAAAAAGCUCGUAGUUGGAUUUCUGGUACAACGCGCCUGGCCCGCAGUUACUGUGAGUGCCGGUGCGCGUUUGCCAUCCUUCUAGAAAACGUUUCUACCCGGGCAACUGGGCCGGAUUCGCGAUCUAGAUCUUUUACUUUGAAAAAAUUAGAGUGUUUAAAGCAGGCAAUUGCUGUGAAUACAUUAGCAUGGAAUAAUAAUCUAGGACUUCGGUUCUAUUUUGUUGGUUUCUAGUACUGAAGUAAUGAUUGAUAGGGAUAGUUGGGGGUNCUA
rnacentral:rRNA from 1 species